rnacentral:rRNA from 1 species
AGAGUUUGAUCCUGGCUCAGGACGAACGCUGGCGGCGCGCCUAACACAUGCAAGUCGAACGGAGCUUAGAGAGCUUGCUUUUUAAGCUUAGUGGCGAACGGGUGAGUAACGCGUGAGUAACCUGCCCUAGAGUGGGGGACAACAGUUGGAAACGACUGCUAAUACCGCAUAAGCCCACGGUACCGCAUGGUACUGAGGGAAAAGGAUUUAUUCGCUUUAGGAUGGACUCGCGUCCAAUUAGCUAGUUGGUGAGGUAACGGCCCACCAAGGCGACGAUUGGUAGCCGGACUGAGAGGUUGAACGGCCACAUUGGGACUGAGACACGGCCCAGACUCCUACGGGAGGCAGCAGUGGGGAAUAUUGCACAAUGGGGGAAACCCUGAUGCAGCGACGCCGCGUGGAGGAAGAAGGUCUUCGGAUUGUAAACUCCUGUUGUUGAGGAAGAUAAUGACGGUACUCAACAAGGAAGUGACGGCUAACUACGUGCCAGCAGCCGCGGUAAAACGUAGGUCACAAGCGUUGUCCGGAAUUACUGGGUGUAAAGGGAGCGCAGGCGGGAAGACAAGUUGGAAGUGAAAUCCAUGGGCUCAACCCAUGAACUGCUUUCAAAACUGUUUUUCUUGAGUAGUGCAGAGGUAGAUGGAAUUCCCGGUGUAGCGGUGGAAUGCGUAGAUAUCGGGAGGAACACCAGUGGCGAAGGCGGCCUACUGGGCACCAACUGACGCUGAGGCUCGAAAGUGUGGGUAGCAAACAGGAUUAGAUACCCUGGUAGUCCACACCGUAAACGAUGAUUACUAGGUGUUGGAGGAUUGACCCCUUCAGUGCCGCAGUUAACACAAUAAGUAAUCCACCUGGGGAGUACGACCGCAAGGUUGAAACUCAAAGGAAUUGACGGGGGCCCGCACAAGCAGUGGAGUAUGUGGUUUAAUUCGAAGCAACGCGAAGAACCUUACCAGGUCUUGACAUCCGAUGCAUAGCACAGAGAUGUGUGAAAUCCUUCGGGACAUCGAGACAGGUGGUGCAUGGUUGUCGUCAGCUCGUGUCGUGAGAUGUUGGGUUAAGU